CACACCAGCCCUUGGGGAGUUUUGAGGCUAAUAAAUGCCAACAGUGGUGUCCAGCUGGCUUCCCAACAGGUAAGGUGAUUUCUAAGUGGUGUGAGGUGACACUGAUUUCCUUUAUAGUAGUUGCCACGUU